rnacentral:Y_RNA from 1 species
GGCUGGUCCUAAGGUAGUGAGAUCUCUCAAUUGAUUGUUCACAGUCACUUGCAGAUCAAACUCCUUGUUCUAUUCUUUCCCCUGUCUCGUUACUGCACUUGACUAGUCUCUA